CUGCAUGGUUGUCGUCAGCUCGUGCCGUGAGGUGUCGGGUUAAGUCCCAUAACGAGCGCAACCCCUACUGUAGUUGCCAUCAGGUCAUGCUGGGGACGUCUAACAAAACUGCCCGCGUAAGCGUGGAGGAAGGUGGGGACGACGUCAAAUCAGCACGGCCCUUACGUCCAGGGCUACACACGUGCUACAAUGGCCGGUACAGAGGGCAGCCACUUGGUGACAAGGAGCAAAUCUCAAAAGCCGGUCUCAGUUCGGAUCGGAGUCUGCAACUCGACUCCGUGAAGUUGGAUUCGCUAGUAAUCGUAGAUCAGCAAUGCUACGGUGAAUACGUUCCCGGGCCUU
rnacentral:rRNA from 1 species